rnacentral:lncRNA from 1 species
AGAGUGCAUCAGUCACCCUCCUACUUCCCUGCUCUUCCAUCGGCAUGGGUGCUCUCUUCGUGGCUCCCCACUUCCACACAUCAGCUUGAUGAACUCUCUAUAUCAUCCUCCAUGUAUCAGCACAUGACAAGCCUCCUGAGUUUUCUGUCAGCACCCUAUCCCAGGACAGAGGAGAACUCAUGCAACAGAAUUUUAUGUGAUGCCAUCUGCUCUUAAUUCAGGUGAAAGUGUUACAGAAAGCUGAUCACCUGGUUUGAAACUCUACCACAAAGAAAAUAUUGAUUAAGCAAAAGUAAACAGAUUUAUUCACAGGUCAUGAAACUUGCUGGAAGAAUAGCCCAGGCUGGACACGUGUUUCUGUCAAGUUCACCGUAGAGCUUUCCUCACCAGCCUUCUGAAGGAGUAAGCAUUGAGCAGCACGAGGAAUUUGACUAUUAGCUGUAAGAAAUGGUUCCCUAGCAACAGUUCAGCCCAUCUAAGAAUUUCAAACAACUUUAGAAGAUGGAGCAUAUACAUUUCCACAAAACAAAACAUCCAAAGACAACACAGUAUUUUAUAAACGUCAGUUUCCUAGUUUUGAUAAUGUAUUACGGUUAGGUAAGAUGUUCACACUGGGGGCAGCUGAGUGAAAGUUACAUGGGUAAUA